AUUGAACGCUGGCGGCAGGCCUAACACAUGCAAGUCGAGCGCGCGUCGGACGGGUGAGUAAUGUAUGGGGACUGCCCGAUAGAGGGGGAUAACUACAGGAAACGGUUUCUAAUACCCCAUACUGUCCGAUUACCCAUAUGGGAUUGGCUAGUAGGUAAGGUAAUGGCUGACCUAGGCGACGAUCUCUAGCGGGUCUGAGAGGAUGAUCAGCCACACUGGGACUGAGACACGGCCCAGACUCCUACGGAGGCAGCAGUGGGGAAUAUUGGACAAUGGGCGAAAGCCUGAUGCAGCCAUGCCGCGUGUAUGAAGAAGGCCCUAGGGUUGUAAAGUACUGUCAGUCGGGAGGCGUUACCGACAGAAGAAGCACCGGCUAACUCCGUGCCAGCAGCCGCGGUAAUAC
rnacentral:rRNA from 1 species